UGAGUUGACUAGGCAAUCGCUGCUCUGAAUUCUCCGAUAUUCGCAUGCGUUUAGAGGGGGGCAGGCCAGAGGAAAGUCCGGGCUCCAGAGGGUAGAGUGCCAGGUAACGCCUGGGGGGCGGAAGCCUACGGAAAGUGCCGCAGAGAGCAGACCGCCGAUGAUUCGUUCGCGAAUACAGGUAAGGGUGAAAGGGUGCGGUAAGAGCGCACCGCGCUGUUGGUAACAGCAGUGGCAGGGUAAACCCCACUCGGAGCAAGACCAAAUAGGUUUCCA
rnacentral:RNase_P_RNA from 1 species